AUAUUCAAUCAUGUUCUUCUAGAAAUCAUUGAUGAUCUUGCCAAUUUGGUAGAAAAUACUGAUGACAAACUACGCAAGCAAACCAAACAUGUCAUGAUGGUGGAUAAAAAAUCAACCUCCUGUGGGAUGAUGGUGGUGAUCGUCUUAUUGCUGAUUGCUAUUGUGGUUGUUGCUGUGUGGCCUACGAAGUAAUCAGAGGUUAUCUCAUUUUGCAACUAAGUGUUAAUUGCAGUCUGUGGCAAGGACAACUCCACCUCCUUGUUGGCACUCUCUAUGGAUGCAGCUAUACUCACUCCAUUCCAAGAGGCAGAUCCAUGGCCAAGCUGCACAAAGGUUUUGCAAAAUUCUGUAUAAAACUUUGUAUACUCAAGAACAUAACUGGAAAAGAAAUGACUCACCUAAUAAACUUCAAGGCAUAAAUAUAAUUAAUUUCAAAGAAAUACUUUUUGUCUAUAAAUGCUUUUAAGAGUACUAAAUGGAUUUUUCUCUUAAUCUCUACAGUGUCUAAUUAAAAUAUUAGCAUUUUUUUUCUAACAUUAGUUCCUUGUAGCUGAAAUAUAUGCUUCUUCAUGAGAGAAUUUCAGUGAUUCAAGAGAAACUGCCAUCUUUGAAGUAAGAGCAAGGGUGCACAUAGAUUUGCUGGCAUCUUUCAAAUUAAAAAAAAAAAUCCACAAAAUCUUUGACUUGAGUCAGAGGGCAAUUACUGUUGUAAGAUAGUAGCAACCAGAAAUGUAUUUUGGAAUUAAAAGAUGAAGGUUCUGUCCAAAAAUUGAACAUAUUAUAUUAUACCUGGGUUUCUUUUCUUUACUUAGUUAUAUUAAUAGCAGGGAAGAAAAGGAAUUACUGUAGAUACACAGAAUUUCAAAAUGUAUUGUUUCCAUAUUUGUUCUGAAAGUAGACGAGAAUGAUUCUCAGCAGAAUUGGCAGGGAAGUGAAUCUCCUUCUGUAACUUACCUUGAACACUCAAAAUCUACAUUGAAGCAUUAGCAGAGCACAUUUGGGAGGAUGAGGGCUGCAAGGGAGAGAAGGAAGUCCUAUUGCAUGAACAUCUUUGUGUUUAUGCAGCAAUGGAUUAAACCCCUAUAUUAAUUCAUGUUCAGAUAUUGUUAUUUUUGCUAUGUAUGUAUUGACAUAAUGGAUAGCAAAGUAGUAAGACUGAAUAGAAGCCAUUAUAGUUCUAUAGGAUUACUUUCUUUACCUUCUUGAAUAUCUAGGAUUAAUGACAUUCUAGACCAUGUAGAAUAUGGGCUAGAAUGUCAUUAUGCUGAAUAAUUCAGAUUGGGGGAAAUGUGCUAUGAGAUCAGUAGGUUUCAGAAGAAAACUAUAUUAAGAGCUUUAUGUACAUAUCUAGUAAAUGGCUGAAAGCUGUUGUGUAAACUCUUUUGUGUUAUUUACUAUUCCAGAGUAUCUGGUCUUUCCCAUGUUUGACUGAAUAGAAUUGAUCAUCCACUAUUGAAUAUGAUAAUGUUUGGUUAAAAUCAAGAUAUUAAUUGGGAAGAGAGGAUAAAAAUCUGCAAAUGGAAUGUUUGACCAACUGAUAUCAAAGGCUACUUUCUCUCUUGCCAGAGGUAUUCACCAUAGGGUACCCAUCAUAAGAAGUUGCCUUUCAGUAGUACAAACAAAAAGGCAAACUAUCAUACUAUAAUCAAUUAUGUUAGACAUGGAUAUGCUUGGUAAUAUUGAUUAAAGCAAUGUAACUUUAAAGUUACAUUGUAAUAUUGAUUAAAGCAAUGUGAACUGUAGAUCACAUUCUGAACCUGCUAAUAGAUGAAAAUUCUAUUUUAGGAUAUAUUAAUAGCAAUAGAGUCCAGAUCCCAGGAAAUAAAUGUCUCACUCUACUUUUCUUGGUCAUUUUCCACUUGGAAAAGUAUGUCCAGUGACAAACUGGAGUGAAUUCAGAGGAGGCUACAAAGAUAGUUAGGGAACUGAAAACCAAGUCCUGUGAGGAACAGUUAAAGGAACUGGGUUUGUGUAAUCUGCAGAAAAGAGGACCAUGGGGCGAUAUGAUACUAGUCUCCAGAUAUCAGAAGAGUUAUCAUUAAAGAGGAAGGAGUGGACUUGUUUUUCUGGAGGGCAAGACCAGUGGGUGGAAAUUACAGGAUUGAAGAAGAAAAAAAAAAGAUUCAGGUUAGAUAUAGGAGGAAUUUCCUGAUGGUCAGAACUCUCAAUUGAUGGCAUUGGUUGCCUCAUGCAGCAGUACAGUUUCCUUCAACAGAAGUCUUCAAACAAUCUGGAUUUGUCCAAAAUUCUUUAGCAGAUCCUGCACUGAGUCAGAGGGUUAGACUAGGUGGCCUAUAAGGUCUUUCACAACUCUAUGAGUCUAUGGUGAAAGUGAACGAGUCAGUGUGAGCAGCUCCCUUUUUACUGAAAGGUAACAAGAUCACUUUUCUACUGAAGGAUUACUGGUCACUUCAGUUUAGGUUUUCAUUAUCACUGGAGCAAUUCACUUCUGAAGCUGGACCAGGUCAAACUUUUCUGAAUUCAUGAUUCCAUGUGCAUGUUCUUCUAAGGAGAGAUGGAGCAAACCAGAUCUUUGCCUGGUUUGGAGGCUGAUAAAAUUGUUAGUAAUGAAAAGGGAUCAGAGUGACUUGAUAGCUUAUAGUUAAAUCAAGCACAUGAAAGUUUUGGCUUAUCUUCUGAUCUUCAGUUAAAAUAAUACUACUUUCCCAAGAGAAGUAGUCCUCCUUGGAGAGAGGUUUUCAAAACAGUCUUCUUACUGUGAUGUGUGCCUUCUCAAUGUUGAAAAGAAAUAAUGCAUUUUAUGGUUGGAAUAUUUUUAUGACGGCAUGAUAGAUUUGUUAUAAAAUAUUUAACAUUUAUUGGUUUUUGAAAUUAUGUAUGUAAAGCUUUCAGAUAUUUUCACAUCUUCACAUAUUUUAUAUUCAUCUUUAUAACAAUUCAGUAAAUUUAGCCAAGCUGAGGGAAAAGCAGCUGAGUCGCCUCUGGUGAAAUGAAUUUUGAACGGAAGACUUUCUAGAUUUUUGCUUGCAGAAUUGGGAAACACAGUGCCCAGUUAAUACGAACUGGCAUAUAUGUCAUAUGGAGAUAAUGUUGUGUGAGCUGGACUCUUUUCCUCAGAUCAAAUAAAUUGUGUUUUUCAACUUAAA